GUCCUGUAGCGCAAUCGAUAGCGCGUUGGAUUUCUUAUUCAGAGGUCGUGGUUUCGAAUUCCACCUGGGAUG